rnacentral:rRNA from 1 species
UGACCUACGGGAGGCAGCAGUAGGGACUCUUCCACAAUGGGCGACCGCCUGCUGGCGCAACGCCGCGUGGGUGAAGAAGGUCUUCGGAUCGUAAAACCCUGUUGUUAGAGAAGAAAGUGCGUGAGAGUAACUGUUCACGUUUCGACGGUAUCUAACCAGAAAGCCACGGCUAACUACGUGCCAGCAGCCGCGGUAAUACGUAGGUGGCAAGCGUUAUCCGGAUUUAUUGGGCGUAAAGGGAACGCAGGCGGUGUUUUAAGUCUGAUGUGAAAGACUUCGGCUUAACCGG